rnacentral:rRNA from 1 species
GCUCAAAUUUGAAAUCUGGCCCCUCCGGGGUCCGAGUUGUAAUUUGCAGAGGAUGCUUCGGGUGCGGCCCCUGUCUAAGUGCCCUGGAACGGGCCGUCAGAGAGGGUGAGAGCCCCGUCUUGGGCAGGGUGCCCGCGCCCGUGUGAAGCUCCUUCGACGAGUCGAGUUGUUUGGGAAUGCAGCUCUAAAUGGGUGGUAAAUUUCAUCUAAAGCUAAAUACCGGCCGGAGACCGAUAGCGCACAAGUAGAGUGAUCGAAAGAUGAAAAGCACUUUGAAAAGAGAGUUAAACAGCACGUGAAAUUGUUGAAAGGGAAGCGCUUGCGACCAGACUCGCCCCCGGGGUUCAGCCGGCAUUCGUGCCGGUGUACUUCCCCGGGGGCGGGCCAGCGUCGGUUUGGGCGGCCGGUCAAAGGCCCCGGGAAUGUGUCGCCCUCCGGGGCGUCUUAUAGCCCGGGGUGCAAUGCGGCCAGCCCGGACCGAGGAACGCGCUUCGGCACGGACGCUGGCGUAAUGGUCACAAACGACCCGUCUUGAAACACGGACCAAGGAGUCUAACAUCUACGCGAGUGUUCGGGUGUCAAACCCGUACGCGCAGUGAAAGCGAACGGAGGUGGGAGCCCCCCCGGGGGCGCACCAUCGACCGAUCCUGAUGUCUUCGGAUGGAUUUGAGUACGAGCGUAGCUGUGGGGACCCGAAAGAUGGUGAACUAUGCCUGAAUAGGGCGAAGCCAGAGGAAACUCUGGUGGAGGCUCGCAGCGGUU